AGAGUUUGAUCCUGGCUCAGAACGAACGCUGGCGGCAGGCUUAACACAUGCAAGUCGAGCGCCCCGCAAGGGGAGCGGCAGACGGGUGAGUAACACGUGGGAACGUACCCUUUUCUACGGAAUAACCCAGGGAAACUUGGACUAAUACCGUAUGUGCCCUUCGGGGGAAAGAUUUAUCGGAAAAGGAUCGGCCCGCGUUGGAUUAGCUAGUUGGUGGGGUAAAGGCCUACCAAGGCGACGAUCCAUAGCUGGUCUGAGAGGAUGAUCAGCCACAUUGGGACUGAGACACGGCCCAAACUCCUACGGGAGGCAGCAGUGGGGAAUAUUGGACAAUGGGCGCAAGCCUGAUCCAGCCAUGCCGCGUGAGUGAUGAAGGCCUUAGGGUUGUAAAGCUCUUUCACCGGAGAAGAUAAUGACGGAUCCGGAGAAGA
rnacentral:rRNA from 1 species